UGGCGGACGGGGGAGUAAUGUCUGGGAAACUGCCCGAUGGAGGGGGGUAACUACUGGAAACGGUAGCUAAUACCGCAUAACGUCGCAAGACCAAAGAGGGGGACCUUCGGGCCUCUUGCCAUCGGAUGUGCCCAGAUGGGAUUAGCUAGUAGGUGGGGUAAAGGCUCACUUAGGCGACGAUCCCUAGCUGGUCUGAGAGGAUGACCAGCCACACUGGAACUGAGACACGGUCCAG
rnacentral:rRNA from 1 species